AUUUAAAGUUCUGCCGCUUGGAAACGGAGACUAUCCGUGCCGUCGCCAUGUCUCGGGCCUUAGUCGAGCCGUACGAAGCUUGCAGGCAGCGCUCUUCCUGCUCAUCUUCUCAUCUGUAAUCCUUCUGGGAGCAAGUGGUUACACCUUCCUGUACCCAAACCGCCACAAACAUUGUCUUUUCAGAGCACUUAUUCCUUUGAGGAUGGUAUUGCUGAAGAUUAGUGAUUAAUUUGAUUUCUUUUUUUCCAAUAUGAUGUGAUUUAUGUUUAUCUGCUUUUAAAAGCAGAAGCCUGGCUCUUUGCGCUUUGUGUUCCAAUUAAAGCAGAACCAAAAGCUUAUAUUUUGGAUCACUACCUGCAUUUUCUGUAUUAUCCCCUCUAAUAAAGUUCCUUAAUUUCUUG